ACAGCAGCAGCCACGGGAAUACGGAGGGUGCAAGCGUUAAUCGGAAUUACUGGGCGUAAAGCGCACGCAGGCGGUCUGACAAGUCAGAUGUGAAAUCCCCGGGCUUAACCUGGGAACUGCAUUUGAAACUGUCAGGCUGGAGUCUUGUAGAGGGGGGUGGAAUUCCAGGUGUAGCGGUGAAAUGCGUAGAGAUCUGGAGGAAUACCGGUGGCGAAGGCGGCCCCCUGGACAAAGACUGACGCUCAGGUGCGAAAGCGUGGGGAGCAAACAGGAUUAGAUACCCCGGUAGUCCCUGUCUCUUAUAA
rnacentral:rRNA from 1 species